rnacentral:lncRNA from 1 species
UGACAUCUCCGGUCCGUGGUGGGUGGUGAGUCUGCAGUGUGUUCGCCCGGGCUGGGUCUCGGGUCUGGGGAGGCCCAGCGUGUUCCUGCCUGGAGAGGGCUCUGCGCUACUGUCUGCUCCCGUCCCCAAGUGCCCCACUGGGCGUGCUCCUAAAAGGCCCUGUGUAGGGCCCUCCCUGCGCGCCCCCUCCCCAUCCAGCGGCCACUCCAGAGUUAUAAUUUAAUAGCUGAAACGCGAUUCCAGUGAGGUACUGGGGCUGGAGAGGAGGAGGAGGGCCCCCGGGCCCGCAGGAGAAGAGGGAGGGGAAGGCUGGGAGGCGCUUCCCCCCUCCUUCCUCCUCGGGGAGCUGCCAAAAAGAAACUCGGCGUCGGAUAAUGUUGCUUUUUAUACUUCUUGGGGAGAAUGUAGAAAAACAAAAAGUAAUGCAUUCAAAACUCUGCCAGUUGCUUUGGGCUUUAUAAAAGCUUAUUUUUUAAAUGAAAGAAAAUGCAUUGACUUGUAAAAAAGAAAAUUAACACAUUGCGUAAAAGUCUCCCUCGGUUCCUGGCCUCCCAGUUUCUGUUCCCCGAGGCAGUCACAGCUUCCCGCGCCUGAGUUUCCUCCGAGAUGCUCUUGGCAUAUGUCGGCCUUAAAUGGACUGUAUGUGUGCGUUCCCUUUAAAAACAAACAUGCAAGUGGUAUCACGCCAUAUAUUCAGGUUUGAUUUUCGCCGUCAUAGUCACAUCCUACGUGAUAAUAUGUUUCGGAGCCGAUUGUGGAACGUAGAAAGCAAGAGUUGGCAAACUAUGGCCCUUGGGCCAAAUCCGGCCAGCCCACCACCUGUUUCUGUAUGGUGCACAAGCUGAGAAUGGUUUCUCCAUUUUUUAAUGGUUGAAAAAAAUCGAAAGAAGAAUAAUAUUUUAUGACAUGUGAAAUCAUAUGAAAUGCAAAUUUCGGUGUCCAUAAAUAAAGUUUUGUUGGAAUGCAGCCACGCUCACUCAUUUACAUGUUGUCUGUGGCUGCUUUUGG